rnacentral:piRNA from 1 species
UACACUGUAAAUGCUCAAUAAAUAU